rnacentral:lncRNA from 1 species
UUCUACAUAUAGAGAGGUCACGGACUAUUAGGACGCUCAUGCAUAUUUUAUAAAGACCUUGGGUGGUACACAGAUGUUGUCACAGGCCAGUGCACAUGUGAAAUUGUGACUCCCCUAGGCAUACCCAGCCAAUCAUUAAGAUUUUCACCCUCAAUGCAUGCAUACAGCCCACUCUUGAGGUUCUCAAUCUCACACCUGGUAGCAGUCAAAAUUUGGAAUUGUGACUCUCAUAUGGGGAUUUGAUUGACAGGUUCAAGCAGUUCUCCUGCCUCAGCUCUUGGACAAAACUUCAGCACUCCUGCUAGGGUGUGUCUGCCCUACUAAGACACUGUGCGCAGGUGGAGUUGAGGCUCUUAUGUAUGGAUCCUGUCCACUGUUGAGAUUGUGAAUUGCAUGUGUAGACUCAACUCACAGGAGGUGUUGACUCACAAACCUCCAGCUGGGACAUGUGCAGGAUUAGAAAUUUUAUUUCUGGAUCUUUCUUCAGAAGGCGUUGUAACAUCUCACUAAGCCCAGCACUCAGGCGAUGUGGCUUUCCUGCUAUGGCACUGCACACAAGAAGAAUGUUGACAUAUUCCUGGCCCAGAAUUCAGGUGGUUUGGUGACUCUCAAACCAUGAUUCAGCAGACCUGUGAGGCUGUGAGUUCCCUAUCAGAACACAAUCUGCAGGUUGUAUUGUGCCAUAUACCUGGGACCAAAUUACAAGCACAAUGAUGAAUCUUUUACCUGGAGUCAAGACAUGGGCAGGAUGAUGGAACUUAUCACUGGACCUUUCCACAGUGUUAUUGUGACAUAUGCCUUUGCCCAACAUGUGGUGAUUUGACUCCCCAGACUGGGUCCAGUUCACAAAUAAAAUUGUGCCGUAUACUUGGCCAAGAACCUAA